GCCUCAGUGGUCUAGGGGUAUGAUUCUCGCUUUGGGUGCUAGAGGUCCCGGGUUCAAUUCCCGACUGAGCCC
rnacentral:tRNA from 1 species